rnacentral:sRNA from 1 species
UAGACCUCCCACCCUUGUGUAUUAUUACUUUGUUGCUUUGGCGAGCUGCCUUCGGGCCUUGUAUGCUCGCCAGAGAAAACCAAAACUCUUUUUAUUAAUGUCGUCUGAGUACUAUAUAAUAGUUAAAACUUUCAACAACGGAUCUCUUGGUUCUGGCAUCGAUGAAGAACGCAGCGAAAUGCGAUAAGUAAUGUGAAUUGCAGAAUUCAGUGAAUCAUCGAAUCUUUGAACGCACAUUGCGCCCCUUGGUAUUCCGGGGGGCAUGCCUGUUCGAGCGUCAUUUCAACCCUCAAGCUUAGCUUGGUAUUGAGUCUAUGUCAGUAAUGGCAGGCUCUAAAAUCAGUGGCGGCGCCGCUGGGUCCUGAACGUAGUAAUAUCUCUCGUUACAGGUUCUCGGUGUGCUUCUGCCAAAACCCAAAUUUUUCUAUGGCGGCGAGUGAAGCGGCAACAGCUCAAAUUUGAAAUCUGGCGUCUUUGGCGUCCGAGUUGUAAUUUGCAGAGGGCGCUUUGGCAUUGGCAGCGGUCCAAGUUCCUUGGAACAGGACGUCACAGAGGGUGAGAAUCCCGUACGUGGUCGCUAGCCUUUACCGUGUAAAGCCCCUUCGACGAGUCGAGUUGUUUGGGAAUGCAGCUCUAAAUGGGAGGUAAAUUUCUUCUAAAGCUAAAUACUGGCCAGAGACCGAUAGCGCACAAGUAGAGUGAUCGAAAGAUGAAAAGCACUUUGGAAAGAGAGUUAAAAAGCACGUGAAAUUGUUGAAAGGGAAGCGCUUGCAGCCAGACUUGCCUGUAGUUGCUCAUCCGGGUUUUUACCCGGUGCACUCUUCUACGGGCAGGCCAGCAUCAGUUUGGGCGGUUGGAUAAAGGUCUCUGUCAUGUACCUCCUCUCGGGGAGAUCUUAUAGGGGAGACGACAUGCAACCAGCCUGGACUGAGGUCCGCGCAUCUGCUAGGAUGCUGGCGUAAUGGCUGUAAGCGGCCCGUCUUGAAACACGGACCAAGGAGUCUAACAUCUAUGCGAGUGUUUGGGUGUCAAGCCCGAACGCGUAAUGAAAGUGAACGGAGGUGGGAACCUUUCGGGGUGCACCAUCGACCGAUCCUGAUGUCUUCGGAUGGAUUUGAGUAAGAGCAUA